AUUCGUGUGGCGCAAUUGGUUAGCGUGUAAGGCUGUUAAUCUUGAGACCGCUGGUUCAAUCCCUGCCAUGAGCC